GCAGUGCUUAUCAGAAGGCCACCCGCUCCUCACCCCAGCAGCGGAAGUGAGGCCUAGCAGCAGAGGUGACAUUCCAGGCAAGGGACAGAACUAUUUUGCGUUUGCCGGAGAAAGAGAAGGGCCAUGAAGGCCAGCCCUCCCUCCGGCGGCCAGGGUACUUCACUAGCCCUGAGUCCCUGGGGUGGCAGGAGGCGGCGUGAGGCCUUGGAGCGGUCUCUCUGCGCGCGGGAGCGUUUUUUGGCCAGGAGGGGACACUUGAGCACCGGAUCUCCCACAGCUGUGGCUCACUGUGAGUGGGGUGCGGGUCUGGCUAAGGACUUUGCUUUAUUCCACCGUAUUCCUCCCUAGGGAAGGGGGCAUGAAGGCACACACUGUGCUAGGCAGCCCAGCGACGGUCCCUCAGAGGUCCUGGCCCGCCUGUGCUCAGGAGGGGAUUGGAGGAGCAGAUGGGACACAGGCCCUGUCCUGCCCCGGCAGGCACUGUGUGGCACAGGCACCAUCCCAGGCAGGUGCGGGGCCUCUGAAGGAAGGCUGGGGACCUCUGAAGGAAGGCUGGGGACCACAAGCACGCUGAGACUCCCGGAGGGGGAAGCCCCGCCCCAGCAGCCCCACCCCCAGCAGCCGGCAGCCCGCCUCCGGAAACCUCACCCAGGUCACCACACAGGAGUCCAGUCACUUCAGUUUUUUACUAUUUCACAGUUGUAGCAAAGAAAUCAAGGUGCAAACAGGGUUUAUUUCACAUUAAUAUAUUAACUGGACUUUCUGUGUCAAAUAAAUAGGAAUUCUCUUUAAAUAA